rnacentral:rRNA from 1 species
AGCGAACGCUGGCGGCAGGCCUAACACAUGCAAGUCGAACGAACCUUUCGGGGUUAGUGGCGGACGGGUGAGUAACACGUGGGAACGUGCCUUUAGGUUCGGAAUAACUCAGGGAAACUUGUGCUAAUACCGAAUGUGCCCUUCGGGGGAAAGAUUUAUCGCCUUUAGAGCGGCCCGCGUCUGAUUAGCUAGUUGGUUGAGGUAAUGGCUCACCAAGGCGACGAUCAGUAGCUGGUCUGAGAGGAUGAUCAGCCACAUUGGGACUGAGACACGGCCCAAACUCCUACGGGAGGCAGCAGUGGGGAAUCUUGCGCAAUGGGCGAAAGCCUGACGCAGCCAUGCCGCGUGAAUGAUGAAGGUCUUAGGAUUGUAAAAUUCUUUCACCGGGGACGUUAAUGACGGUACCCGGAGAAGAAGCCCCGGCUAACUUCGUG